rnacentral:lncRNA from 1 species
AAAAAGAAAAAAGGAAUGUUUGAUUUUUAACACUCCCUCUAUCAAAAAUGUGAUCCAUGAAUGUAUAAUUUUCACAAACAGAUGGCAACGAGAUUCUAAGGAUGAUGAUAUUCGAGGUUCUUCCUAUAAAUACUCGUAUAAGGCUCGACUCUCAGCAAGCCCCAAUUCAGAAGCUUUGUUUUCUACAUUUUUAUCUCUUUAGUUGACUGUGCAACUAAGCCAGCAAA